rnacentral:rRNA from 1 species
AUUGAACGCUGUCGUCAGGCCUAACACAUGCAAGUCGAUCGAGCGGCGGCCGGGUGAGUAAUGUAUGGGGACUGCCCGAUAGAGUGGGUUAACUACUGUAAACGGUCGCUAAUACCGCAUACUAUCGGCUACCCCCUAUGGGCUUUGCUAGUAGGGGAGGUAAGGGCUCACCUAGGCGACGAUCCCUAGCUGGUCUGAGAGGAUGAUCAGCCAGAAUGGGACUGAGACACGGCCCAGACUCCUACGGAGGCAGCAGUGGGGAAUAUUGCAAAAUGCGCGGAAGCCGGAUGCAGCGAUGCCGCGUGUAUGAAGAAGGCCAUAGGGGUGGACAGGACGUUCAGUCGGGAGGCGUUACCGAGAGAAGAAGCACCGGCUAAAUCAGUGCCAGCAGCCGCGGUAAUUC